GGGGAAAUAAUUGUAUAGUUUUGAAUAAUUCAAAUUUUCAUAGCUUAAGUUAUUCAUUAUAAAAAAACAAAAAAACAAUUCAUCCGUGUUUUUUAUUUUUGUCCCAUGUCUCUCUCUUUCUCUUGCUCGUGUAUCGCAUAAGGCGAAAUCAGAGAACUCUCGCUCGAUCCGUUUGAUUUAAGAGGAGAAAUGCGAAAUCGUCUAACCUAAUCUCUUUUCAGACUCACAAAUUGUUCUAGAGAUGCUUAUGAAUCAAUGAAUAUAUCUAACCUACUGUUUUAUUUUGUAGUUGCGCCUCAAACGGCCAAGGCUCAGAGGCUCCAGCGCCUAGGCUCAAGGCUCAAACUAAGCCCCCCAGCGCCUUGCCUCGCCUUGCGCUAUUUAAAACACAGGUUGUUGCUGUUGUUGUUGAUUUGCUUUUGUUGAGUUAGAGAUUCAACUAAACCUCUGUUUUCUUAUUUGAAUUAGCUAAUGAUUUGCUACUUAUUAAUUAUUCUCUUUAUAUGGUAGAACUUAAGAACCAACUUCUGCUUCUACGAAUGCAUACAAAGAUGGAUUUUGUUUGAUAAGUCUUAUACUAUAAUGUGAUAACAGAACCGAUACAAGAAGAGUCAAUAAACUAUUUGUUUCAAAGAAUGUCUCAUGCACCUUGUUGAUCGUGUAGUAACCACAUUUUCUUUUCAAGCCACUUUCAAACAUAAUCUAAUGUUGUCAUUUCAUGUAUCUUCAAUCUAGUGUUGUCAUUUGAAAUGACACUAACUGUUCUCUCUCAAUGGACACUACUUCACAUGGACACUAACUGUUCUCUCUCAAUGUGGUGGACCAGUUUAUGAUGGCAAAUGGAAAGCUUGUUCGUGUCCUUAUUCAUACAGAUGUGACUAAGUACUUGUCUUUUAAAGCUGUUGAUGGAAGCUGUGUUUUUGUCAAAGGCAAGAAUGAGACGACCGACAAUCCAGAAUGAGACGACGAAGACGACGAACACGAGCGUAGACGACGACGAGACUCAAGAGUAGAUCGAUUAGUGUUUAAUCUUUAUAUUAGAAUGUAUUGUACAAUGAAUUUUAAUUUGUACGGAGUUUAAUUUUAAAUUUAAUUUUAAGUUUCUUUUGAA